rnacentral:rRNA from 1 species
UACGUAGGGCGCAAGCGUUGUCCGGAAUUAUUGGGCGUAAAGAGCUCGUAGGCGGCCUGUUGCGUCCGCUGUGAAAUCCCGGGGCUUAACCCCGGGCCUGCAGUGGAUACGGGCAGGCUGGAGGCAGGCAGGGGAGACUGGAAUUCCUGGUGUAGCGGUGAAAUGCGCAGAUAUCGGGAGGAACACCGGUGGCGAAGGCGGUUCUCUGGGCCGAUACUGACGCUGAGGAGCGAAAGCGUGGGGAGCGAACAGG